UCUAAAGGCCAAACCUCCUUGUCAGAGCGUGAUCUCAGAAGCCAAGCAGGACUGGGCCUGGUCAGCUCUUGGAUGAGGGACCGCUGGGAAUUUCAGGUGCCGGUGGCA
rnacentral:rRNA from 1 species